UGCAUCUUGUACAACGGAGUUUAGAGUAAACUGUUGACUUUCUUGUCACUGAUCACUUGCUUGCGAUAAAAUGGGAAGAAAAUGCGUGUAUUACUGGUGCACAAAUCGUGAAAGAGAUGGAUGCGGAGUAUCCUUUCACAAGUUUCCGGCAGAUGAAGAGCUAUGUUUCAGGUGGAUCAAUUCUUGUAAUUCUUCAGAAGCAGAAAUUUUGUUCCAGCGAAAUGGAUCGCAAGCAUUGAGCCGAAUGAGAGUAUGCUCUAACCAUUUUCAAACUGGUGAUUAUCGUGAUACUUGUACAGAGAGAAAUAGGUGAAUGUUGCAUUAUGGAGCUGUUCCGCAAUUGGCAGAAUUUUUGAUAGACUAUGACUAUGAGAAGUGGCAAGCUGCUCUAGGGCUCCCUAUGCGGAAUUUGUCAACAGCUCCCGCUGUCAACCAACUGAAU